rnacentral:lncRNA from 1 species
AAACGACUAUCUAUGACUUCUACAUGUACGGAUUUAGUUUUUUUGACUAAAGAUAUUUUUUGAUUUUUGACAAAAUCUUUGUCUAUAAAACAAGCUAAGGCUCUUGAAUCUAAUAAGGCCAGGACUUUGUGAUUUUUACAUUCUAAACGUAAAUCUAUUGUAAAACAAGGUAAGGGAUUUGAGGAAAGAAUAAGAUCUUUAUUAGGUGUUGCACAUGAUUCUAGUCGCACGGUUCCUAAUAUAGUUGAAGAAACUCAUUUUCCAACACAUUAUCUUCUUUGGUACUUCUGCUCCUCAUUUUAUAAUUACGUUGAUUCUUUGGAUAAUAUUAAGUAAUGUGUUUAGCUUCUCCACAGUAUAAACACAAAUCGUCUUGGUGAUGUUUAGUCUUUUCCUGCUUUGUGAGAGUUUUAAAAUGUAUUAUAUCAAUUUAUAUUGGUUUCAG